ACGAACGGCUGGCGGCGUGCUUAAACACAUGCAAGUCGAGCGGGGUCCAUCCCUGUCGCAAGACAGGGGAAGACCUAAGCGGCGAACGGGUGAGUAACACGUGAGGGAACCUGCCCCGAAGACGGGGAUAACACCGGGAAAACCGGUGCUAAUACCGGAUUGCCCUCAGAGAGGUCGCAUGGCUCAUUGAGGGAAAAUGGAUUUCCGCUUCGGGGAGGGCCUCGCGGGCCUAUCAGCUUGUUGGUGGGGGGGGUAACGGCCUACCAAGGCUCCGACGGGUAGCUGGUCUGAAGAGGACGACCAGCCACAACUGGGACUGAGACACGGCCCAGACUCCUACGGGAGGCAGCAGCAGUGGGGAAUCUUGCGCAAAUGGGGCGAAAGCCUGACGCGGGCAACGCCCGCGUGCGGGACGAAGGCCUUCGGGUUUGUAAACCGCUUUUCAGCAGGGGACGAACAUGACGGUACCUGCAGAAAGAAGCCCCCGGCCAAACUACGUGCCAGCAGCCGCGGGGUAAUAAUACGUAGGGGGGCGAGCGUUGUCCGGAUUUAUUGGGCGUAAAAGAGCUCGUAGGCGGUUUGGGCAAGUCGGGUGUGAAAACUCCGGGCUCAACUCGGAGACGCCACUCGAUACUGCCAUGACUCGAGGUUCCGGUAGGGGGAGUGCGGAAUUCCUGGUGUAGCGGUUGAAUGAAAUGCGCAGAUAUCAGGAGGAACACCGGUGGCGGAAGGCGGCACUCUGGGCCGGGGUACUGACGCUGAGGAGCGGAAAAAGCGGUGGGGAGCGAACAGGAUUAGAUACCCUGGUAGUCCACGCCGUAAACGUUGGGCACUAGGUGUGGGGCUCGAUCGGACGGGCUCCCGUGGCCGUAAGCUAACGCAUAUUAAGUGCCCCGCCUGGGAAGUACUGGCCGCCAAGGCUAAAACUCAAGGGAAUUGACGGGGGCCCCGCACAAAGCGGCGGAGCAUGUUGCUUAAUUCGAUGCAACGCUGAAGAAACCUUACCAAGGCCUUGACAUGUACGGAAAAGGCCGUAGAGGUAUCGGUGUCCUUCGGGGGUCGUACCACAGGUGGUGCAUGGCUGUCGUCAGCUCGUGUCGUGAGAUGUUGGGGUUAAGUCCCGCAACUGAGCGCAAACCCUUGUCCUAUGUUGCCAGCGGGGUUAUGCCGGGGACUCGUAGGAGACUGCCGGGGUCAAACUCGGAGGAAGGGUGGGGGAUGACGUCAAGUCAUCAUGCCCCUUACGUCUUGGGCUGCAAAACAUGCUACAAUGGCUGGUACAAAGGGCUGCGAAACUCGGCUGAGAGUGAGCGAAUCCCAUAAAGCCAGUCUCAGGUUCGGAUCGUAGUCUGCAACUCGACUGCGUUGAAGUACGGAAAGGUCGCUAGUAAUCGCAGAUCAGCAAUUGCUGCGGUGAAUACGUUCCCGGGCCUUGUACACACCGCCCGUCACACCCACGAAAGUCGGCAACACCCGAAAGCCGGUGGCCUAACCCGUAAGGGAGGGAGCCGUCGAAGGUGGGUGUUGGUGAUUGGGGUG
rnacentral:rRNA from 1 species